GGGAAAAGAAAUUAAACAAAGAAAUUAAAAAAAAAAGAAUAAAGAAGAUCAAAUCUGUUUUAAAAGAAAAGAAGAAAAUAAAAUGUAAAACAAAAAGUACAGAACAAAGGCCUAAGCUAAAUUGCAAAAUAAGAACUGCAAGAGCAAAUACAAAUAUAAAAGAAAGACUACAAUGCCCUAAAAUCAAUCCUAACAACUACUGGAUAUGCAAAA
rnacentral:lncRNA from 1 species